ACUGUGGAUUCUAUUGGCUGUUGC
rnacentral:siRNA from 1 species